UACAGAGGUCCCAAGCGUUGUUCGGAUUCACUGGGCGUAAAGGGUGCGUAGGCGGUCGGGUAAGUCUGAUGUGAAAUCUUCGAGCUCAACUCGGAAACUGCAUCGGAAACUAUUCGGCUAGAGGAUUGGAGGGGAGACUGGAAUUCUCGGUGUAGCAGUGAAAUGCGUAGAUAUCGAGAGGAACACCAGUGGCGAAGGCGAGUCUCUGGACAAUUCCUGACGCUGAGGCACGAAAGCUAGGGGAGCAAACAGG
rnacentral:rRNA from 1 species